AGUGAACGCUGGCGGCAGGCCUAACACAUGCAAGUCGAACGGCAGCACAAGAGAGCUUGCUCUCUGGGUGGCGAGUGGCGGACGGGUGAGGAAUGCAUCGGAAUCUGCCCAUUUGUGGGGGAUAACCUCGGGAAACCGGGACUAAUACCGCAUACGACCUACGGGUGAAAGCAGGGGAUCUUCGGACCUUGCGCAGAUGGAUGAGCCGAUGCCGGAUUAGCUAGUUGGAGGGGUAAAGGCCCACCAAGGCGACGAUCCGUAGCUGGUCUGAGAGGAUGAUCAGCCACACUGGGACUGAGACACGGCCCAGACUCCUACGGGAGGCAGCAGUGGGGAAUAUUGGACAAUGGGCGCAAGCCUGAUCCAGCCAUGCCGCGUGUGUGAAGAAGGCCUUCGGGUUGUAAAGCACUUUUGUUGGGAAAGAAAAGCAGCCGGUUAAUACCCGGUUGUCAUGGCGGUACCCAAAGAAUAAGCACCGGCUAACUUCGUG
rnacentral:rRNA from 1 species